GGUUGUGGCUCAGUGGUAGAGUGCUUGCCUAGCAUCAUGUUCUGGGUUCAAUCCCCAGUACUACCA
rnacentral:tRNA from 1 species